GGCUCCAAAAAGGUUACCUCACCGACUUCGGGUGUUACAAACUCUCGUGGUGUGACGGGCGGUGUGUACAAGGCCCGGGAACGUAUUCACCGCGGCGUGCUGAUCCGCGAUUACUAGCGAUUCCGGCUUCAUGUAGGCGAGUUGCAGACUGCAAUCCGAACUGAGAGAAGCUUUGAGAGAUUGGCUUAGCCUCGCGACUUCGCAACUCGUUGUACUUCCCAUUGUAGCACGUGUGUAGCCCAGGUCAUAAGGGGCAUGAUGAUUUGACGUCAUCCCCACCUUCCUCCGGUUUGUCACCGGCAGUCUCCCUAGAGUGCCCAACUGAAUGAUGGCAACUAACAAUAAGGGUUGCGCUCGUUGCGGGACUUAACCCAACAUCUCACGACACGAGCUGACGACAACCAUGCACCACCUGUCACUUUGCCCCCGAAGGGGACGCUCUAUCUCUAGAAUGGUCAAAGGAUGUCAAGACCUGGUAAGGUUCUUCGCGUUGCUUCGAAUUAAACCACAUGCUCCACCGCUUGUGCGGGCCCCCGUCAAUUCCUUUGAGUUUCAACCUUGCGAUCGUACUCCCCAGGCGGAGUGCUUAAUGCGUUUGCUGCAGCACUGAAGGGCGGAAACCCUCCAACACUUAGCACUCAUCGUUUACGGCGUGGACUACCAGGGUAUCUAAUCCUGUUCGCUCCCCACGCUUUCGAGCCUCAGCGUCAGUUACAGACCAGAGAGCCGCCUUCGCCACUGGUGUUCCUCCAUAUCUCUACGCAUUUCACCGCUACACAUGGAAUUCCACUCUCCUCUUCUGCACUCAAGUCCCCAGUUUCCAAUGACCCUCCCCGGUUGAGCCGGGGGGCUUUCACAUCAGACUUAAGAAACCGCCUGCGCUCCCUUUACGCCAAUAAAUCCGGGACAACGCUUGCCACUACGUAUUACCGCGCUGCUGGCACGUAGUUAGCCGUGGCUUUCUGGGUUAAGUUACCGUCAAGGGAAC
rnacentral:rRNA from 1 species